rnacentral:rRNA from 1 species
GAUGAACGCUAGCUACAGGCUUAACACAUGCAAGUCGAGGGGAAACGGCAUUGAGUGCUUGCACUCUUUGGACGUCGACCGGCGCACGGGUGAGUAACGCGUAUCCAACCUUCCCAUUACUGUGGGAUAACCUGCCGAAAGGCAGACUAAUACCGCAUAGUCUUCGAUGACGGCAUCAGAUUUGAAGUAAAGAUUUAUCGGUAAUGGAUGGGGAUGCGUCUGAUUAGCUUGUUGGCGGGGUAACGGCCCACCAAGGCGACGAUCAGUAGGGGUUCUGAGAGGAAGGUCCCCCACAUUGGAACUGCGACACGGUCCAAACUCCUACGGGAGGCAGCAGUGAGGAAUAUUGAUCAAUGGACGGAAGUCUGAACCAGCCAAGUAGCGUGCAGGAUGACGGCCCUAUGGGUUGUAAACUGCUUUUGUAUGGGGAUAAAGUUAGGGACGUGUCCCUAUUUGCAGGUACCAUACGAAUAAGGACCGGCUAAUUCCGUG